GCCGGUGUAGCUCAGCUGGUAGAGCAACUGACUUGUAAUCAGUAGGUCGGGGGUUCGACUCCUCUCGCCGGCACCA
rnacentral:tRNA from 1 species